GUCGGUGAGAUUUACUCACAACAAAAAGGGUUAAUGACAUUAUUUCCAUGAAAACGUAUUAAUUCUUUGUACAGUGUUUAAAUUGUGUUUUCACUUGACCUUAGGAGUGUUAUUUUGAGUGUAUUUUAAUGUCUGUACUCAGGUGUUUCCCUCUGUGAUCCAUCCCCUUCAGAGCUGAGACACUCAGGACUGAACAGACUGCACAGUUUCUGUGAUUGAGCCUCCAAAACACCUUCUUUGAAACCACACAUGAUAGAAGGGCUUUAUAUUUGCAGCAGCACUACUACAGUCGGCAGGAAUGUUGCUGCAGGAAAACAUCCCUGGAGAUCACCAUCAUUGUCAGACUGACUGUGCCUCCUCUGUGCAGUGUCAAGAUCCUCCCUAAAUGAGUGUUCCUCAGCUAUCCUGCUUCUGUGCUGCUUGCCACACAUCAAACACUGGCCGGAUGACAGGGAGGAUCCACUCUGAAGUCACUGGACAUGAUGAGGAUUAUAUGGGACUUUAUAGUUUCACAGAAACGUUGUACUCUU